rnacentral:rRNA from 1 species
CCCUUAGAUGUUCUGGGCCGCACGCGUGCUACACUGAGUAAAUCAAUGGGUAAGGGAACACGAAAGUGCAACCUAAUCUUGAAAUUUGCUCGUGAUGGGGAUCGACGGUUGCAAUUUUCCGUCGUGAACGAGGAAUACCUUGUAGGCGCGUGUCAUCAUCACGCGCCGAAUACGUCCCUGCCCUUUGUACACACCGCCCGUCGCUCCUACCGAUUGAAUGGUCCGGUGAAAUCUUCGGAUUGAGACUUUGUUUUCUUCACGGAAAACGCUGUUUUAAAAAGUUGAUUAAACCUUACCAUUUAGAGGAAGGUGAAGUCGUAACA